rnacentral:rRNA from 1 species
CCCUUAGAUGUCCGGGGCCGCACGCGCGCUACACUGAAGGAAUCAGCGUGGCUUUCUCCCUGACCCGAGAGGGUUGGGAAACCCGUUGAAUCUCCUUCGUGAUAGGGAUUGGGGCUUGAAAUUGUUCCCCAUGAACGAGGAAUUCCCAGUAAGCGCGAGUCAUAAGCUCGCGUUGAUUACGUCCCUGCCCUUUGUACACACCGCCCGUCGCUACUACUGAUUGGAUGUUUAAGCGAGGUUCUCGAACUGCUAGCGACUUAGCUUCGGUGAGGUCGCAGUGUGGGAAGUGAACCUAGCUUUGGUGUCUAGAGGAAGUAAAAGUCGUAACA